rnacentral:rRNA from 1 species
AGAGUUUGAUCCUGGCUCAGGAUGAACGCUGGCGGCGUGCCUAAUACAUGCAAGUCGAGCGAACGGACGAGAAGCUUGCUUCUCUGAUGUUAGCGGCGGACGGGUGAGUAACACGUGGAUAACCUACCUAUAAGACUGGGAUAACUUCGGGAAACCGGAGCUAAUACCGGAUAAUAUUUUGAACCGCAUGGUUCAAAAGUGAAAGACGGUCUUGCUGUCACUUAUAGAUGGAUCCGCGCUGCAUUAGCUAGUUGGUAAGGUAACGGCUUACCAAGGCAACGAUGCAUAGCCGACCUGAGAGGGUGAUCGGCCACACUGGAACUGAGACACGGUCCAGACUCCUACGGGAGGCAGCAGUAGGGAAUCUUCCGCAAUGGGCGAAAGCCUGACGGAGCAACGCCGCGUGAGUGAUGAAGGUCUUCGGAUCGUAAAACUCUGUUAUUAGGGAAGAACAUAUGUGUAAGUAACUGUGCACAUCUUGACGGUACCUAAUCAGAAAGCCACGGCUAACUACGUGCCAGCAGCCGCGGUAAUACGUAGGUGGCAAGCGUUAUCCGGAAUUAUUGGGCGUAAAGCGCGCGUAGGCGGUUUUUUAAGUCUGAUGUGAAAGCCCACGGCUCAACCGUGGAGGGUCAUUGGAAACUGGAAAACUUGAGUGCAGAAGAGGAAAGUGGAAUUCCAUGUGUAGCGGUGAAAUGCGCAGAGAUAUGGAGGAACACCAGUGGCGAAGGCGACUUUCUGGUCUGUAACUGACGCUGAUGUGCGAAAGCGUGGGGAUCAAACAGGAUUAGAUACCCUGGUAGUCCACGCCGUAAACGAUGAGUGCUAAGUGUUAGGGGGUUUCCGCCCCUUAGUGCUGCAGCUAACGCAUUAAGCACUCCGCCUGGGGAGUACGACCGCAAGGUUGAAACUCAAAGGAAUUGACGGGGACCCGCACAAGCGGUGGAGCAUGUGGUUUAAUUCGAAGCAACGCGAAGAACCUUACCAAAUCUUGACAUCCUUUGACAACUCUAGAGAUAGAGCCUUCCCCUUCG